rnacentral:rRNA from 1 species
GACGGAGGGUGCAAGCGUUGCUCGGAAUCACUGGGCGUAAAGGGUGCGUAGGCGGUCUCGCAAGUCUGGCGUGAAAGCCCAAGGCUCAGCCUUGGAAGUGCGCUCGAAACUGCGAGGCUGGAGUGCCGGAGGGGAGAGUGGAAUUCCCGGUGUAGCGGUGAAAUGCGUAGAUAUCGUAAGGAAGACCAGUGGCGAAGGCGGGUCUCUGGACAGUUCCUGACGCUGAGGUGCGAAAGCCAGGGGAGCAAACGGG